rnacentral:rRNA from 1 species
GAUGAACGCUGGCGGCGUGCCUAAUACAUGCAAGUCGAGCGAACAGAUAAGGAGCUUGCUCCUUUGACGUUAGCGGCGGACGGGUGAGUAACACGUGGGUAACCUACCUAUAAGACUGGAAUAACUCCGGGAAACCGGGGCUAAUGCCGGAUAACAUUUAGAACCGCAUGGUUCUAAAGUGAAAGAUGGUUUUGCUAUCACUUAUAGAUGGACCCGCGCCGUAUUAGCUAGUUGGUAAGGUAACGGCUUACCAAGGCAACGAUACGUAGCCGACCUGAGAGGGUGAUCGGCCACACUGGAACUGAGACACGGUCCAGACUCCUACGGGAGGCAGCAGUAGGGAAUCUUCCGCAAUGGGCGAAAGCCUGACGGAGCAACGCCGCGUGAGUGAUGAAGGUCUUCGGAUCGUAAAACUCUGUUAUUAGGGAAGAACAAAUGUGUAAGUAACUGUGCACGUCUUGACGGUACCUAAUCAGAAAGCCACGGCUAACUACGU